rnacentral:rRNA from 1 species
CUAAGACAUGCGAGUCGAGCGUCUCUAGCUAUGUUGAGACGCGGCAGACGGCUCAGUAACACGUGGCUAACCUACCCUCAGGACAAGUACAAACCCGGGAAACUGGGGCUAAUACUCGAUAGGCGAAGGCGCCUGGAAUGGUUCUUCACCCAAAGGGCUUUAGAAACAUGCUUCUAGAGUCGCCUGGGGAUGGGGCCGCGUCCGAUCAGGUUGUUGGUGAGGUAACGGCUCACCAAGCCUAUAACCGGUACGGGCCGUGAGAGCGGUAGCCCGGAGAUGGGUACUGAGACAAGGACCCAGGCCCUACGGGGCGCAGCAGUCGCGAAAACUCCGCAAUGCACGAAAGUGUGACGGGGCUACCCCGAGUGCCGUCCGCUGAGGAUGGCUUUUCCUUGGUGUAACUAGCCGGGGGAAUAAGGAGAGGGCAGGACUGGUGUCAGCCGCCGCGGUAA